rnacentral:rRNA from 1 species
UCUACGGGGGGCUGCAGCGGGGAAUAUUGCACAAUGGGCGCAAGCCUGAUGCAGCCAUGCCGCGUGUGUGAAGAAGGCCUUCGGGUUGUAAAGCACUUUCAGCGGGGAGGAAGGCGUUAAGGUUAAUAACCUUGUCGAUUGACGUUACCCGCAGAAGAAGCACCGGCUAACUCCGUGCCAGCAGCCGCGGUAAUACGGAGGGUGCGAGCGUUAAUCGGAAUUACUGGGCGUAAAGCGCACGCAGGCGGUCUGUCAAGUCGGAUGUGAAAUCCCCGGGCUCAACCUGGGAACUGCAUUCGAAACUGGCAGGCUAGAGUCUUGUAGAGGGGGGUAGAAUUCCAGGUGUAGCGGUGAAAUGCGUAGAGAUCUGGAGGAAUACCGGUGGCGAAGGCGGCCCCCUGGACAAAGACUGACGCUCAGGUGCGAAAGCGUGGGGAGCAAACAGGAUUAGAUACCCUAGUAGUC